rnacentral:rRNA from 1 species
AGUGAACGCUGGCGGUAGGCCUAACACAUGCAAGUCGAACGGCAGCACAGUAAGAGCUUGCUCUUACGGGUGGCGAGUGGCGGACGGGUGAGGAAUACAUCGGAAUCUACUUUUUCGUGGGGGAUAACGUAGGGAAACUUACGCUAAUACCGCAUACGACCUACGGGUGAAAGCAGGGGAUCUUCGGACCUUGCGCGAUUGAAUGAGCCGAUGUCGGAUUAGCUAGUUGGCGGGGUAAAGGCCCACCAAGGCGACGAUCCGUAGCUGGUCUGAGAGGAUGAUCAGCCACAAUGGGACUGAGACACGGUCCAGACUCCUACGGGAGGCAGCAGUGGGGAAUAUUGGACAAUGGGCGCAAGCCUGAUCCAGCCAUACCGCGUGGGUGAAGAAGGCCUUCGGGUUGUAAAGCCCUUUUGUUGGGAAAGAAAAGCAGCAGGUUAAUACCCCGCUGUUCUGACGGUACCCAAAGAAUAAGCACCGGCUAACUUCGUG